CCUACGGGAGGCUGCAGUGGGGAAUAUUGGACAAUGGGGGGAACCCUGAUCCAGCCAUGCCGCGUGUGUGAAGAAGGCCCUCGGGUUGGAAAGCACUUUCAGUGAGGAAGAACGCCUGGUGGUUAAUACCCAUCAGGAAAGACAUCACUCACAGAAGAAGCACCGGCUAACUCCGUGCCAGCAGCCGCGGUAAUACGGAGGGUGCGAGCGUUAAUCGGAAUUACUGGGCGUAAAGCGCGCGUAGGUGGCUUGAUAAGCCGGUUGUGAAAGCCCCGGGCUCAACCUGGGAACGGCACCCGGAACUGUCAAGCUAGAGUGCAGGAGAGGAAGGUAGAAUUCCCGGUGUAGCGGUGAAAUGCGUAGAGAUCGGGAGGAAUACCAGUGGCGAAGGCAGCCUUCUGGACUGAUACUGACACUGAGGUGCGAAAGCGUGGGUAGCAAACAGGAUUAGAUACCCUUGUAGUC
rnacentral:rRNA from 1 species